AUUGAACGCUGGCGGCAGGCCUAACACAUGCAAGUCGGACGGUAGCACAGAGGAGCUUGCUCCUCGGGUGACGAGUGGCGGACGGGUGAGUAAUGUCUGGGGAUCUGCCCGAUAGAGGGGGAUAACCACUGGAAACGGUGGCUAAUACCGCAUAACGUCGCAAGACCAAAGAGGGGGACCUUCGGGCCUCUCACUAUCGGAUGAACCCAGAUGGGAUUAGCUAGUAGUCGGGGUAACGGCCCACCUAGGCGACGAUCCCUAUCUGGUCUGAGAGGAUGACCAGCCACACUGGAUCUGAGACACGGUCCAGACUACUACGGGAGGCAGCAGUGGGGAAUAUUGCACAAUGGGCGCAAGCCUGAUGCAGCCAUGCCGCGUGUAUGAAGAAGGCCUUCGGGUUGUAAAGUACUUUCAGCGGGGAGGAAGGCGAUGUGGUUAAUAACCGCGUCGAUUGACGUUACCCGCAGAAGAAGCACCGGCUAACUCCGUGCCAGCCGCCGCCGUAA
rnacentral:rRNA from 1 species